rnacentral:rRNA from 1 species
AUUGAACGCUGGCGGCAGGCUUAACACAUGCCAGUCGAGCGGUAGCACAGGGGAGCUUGCUCCCUGGGUGACGAGCGGCGGACGGGUGAGUAAUGUCUGGGAAACUGCCUGAUGGAGGGGGAUAACUACUGGAAACGGUAGCUAAUACCGCAUAACGUCGCAAGACCAAAGAGGGGGACCUUCGGGCCUCUUGCCAUCAGAUGUGCCCAGAUGGGAUUAGCUAGUAGGUGGGGUAAUGGCUCACCUAGGCGACGAUCCCUAGCUGGUCUGAGAGGAUGACCAGCCACACUGGAACUGAGACACGGUCCAGACUCCUACGGGAGGCAGCAGUGGGGAAUAUUGCACAAUGGGCGCAAGCCUGAUGCAGCCAUGCCGCGUGUGUGAAGAAGGCCUUCGGGUUGUAAAGCACUUUCAGCGAGGAGGAAGGUGGUGAGCUUAAUACGUUCAUCAAUUGACGUUACUCGCAGAAGAAGCACCGGCUAACUCCGUG